AUUGAUUUAAUGUUAUAUUAAAAAGAUCCAAUUUAUACAUCCAUAUUUUCCAUAAUGUUGUAUAGGUUUUCUUAACUCAGACCCAAACAAUCCUCCCUCUCAUUUCUCUCUUCCAAUCGACCAUCUCUCUUCUCUUUCACUCAAAGCUCACCUCACAACCCCCCCGCUUCCGCACCACCGCCGUCGCACCUUCACUUUCAUCCAUCCCGCCACCGUCCACAGACACAACCACCCACCACCAUAACACAUCCACGUAUUUUUUUUUCUCUCUCAAUCUGUUUCUACCACUUCCACAUAAGAGACACGAGCUUCAUGCAUCUUCUUCAAGUUUUAUAGUUCUUUCUUCAUAUUGUUGUUUCUAAGCUUGACAAUGGAGGGUAGAUAUUUUAUUGGUAUCUUACUCCUUCAUAGCCUGGCUUCACUUUUGGUGAAAUGUGACUCAUCAUCUAGCCAAGAUAAAAAUCUAAAGACUUAUAUUGUCUACACCGGAGAUAUCUUAGGAAAUGAAACUUAUUCACUUCUCCGUUACAAAGAUUUGAUACAUCAAGAAACUCAGCACCCAAAUCUAUAUUAUGCUACUAUUGGAAGAGUUUUAGUGGUUUUGCGGUGAAGCUAACGCAAAAGGAAGCCGAUAGAAUGGCUGAUCUUAAAGGGGUUGUGUCUGUUUUUCCAGAUAAAGCUUACAAACUCGAUCCACCACCACUCCUUCCACCAGAUGAUAGAAUUUCACUGGCUUGGACAGUACAAAAUUUAAGUUACUUAUUCACUGUAAUUCUAAACAUACUACUUUAUAUUAUUAUUGAAUAAAUCGCGUACUUUUGUUAAAAUGAAAAUCAAAUUCUACACUUUAAUUAAUAACAGAAGAUAUAUCGCAGUAA